ensembl:lncRNA
CAAGGAUGCUCGAGGAGAGAUGAGGGAGGAUUUUGUAUAUGAUAGGCUUUUUUGGUGGUGGUGUUUGAUUUUGUGAAUUGUUCCAAAUCUGUGAAGGAAGGAGGCUGUAACGUGGCCAAAUCCUACUGGAUUCAGUGUCUGACAUCCACAGGGACUUCUGGAGCAAGACAGAAGAAAUGCUGGAGCUGAUGCAGGAAUAAGGGGAUAUAAAAAUGUCCUCAUCUCUAACCAAGCAAAAGGCCUGCAGCAGCAACUGCAAGCAGAAGCAAGGUGAAAAUAAGAACUCCUGGAGUGUGCAGUCACAUGAAUUUUCUCACCCAAACCUUAGGAGCAGUGAGCUUCUCUUCAGAGUUGCUUUUGGAAAGAAUGAAAGCACUUGACACUUUGGAACUUUGACUCAUUCAAAGGUUUGGUACAACACAAUUUCACAUUGAUUCUUUUUUUCCCCCUCAAAAAAGCAAACUGACACUGAUGUCACCUGUAAUAACUCAUCAGUUGACUUAAGACACAGUGUCCUCGAAUUUGUAAAUAUUUUCAGCUGUGUCAGACAAGUGGCUUUUAGAGCAAGUGGAAAACACCCAGUGCUGCCCAUCAGCGAGGUCCUGUCAGGGUAAAACACAGACAGGGGAGAAAGGAGACCUGAUACCCUGUCCUUAUGAUUCAGGAGCUUGAGGGAGCUCAAAACACUUCAUCUUCAAAACAUCACCUGUCUCCCUACAGCUUUCCUGGCUUCUGAAAACCCUUUUACAGUCUGUCAGCUUCCCAGUCAGCAGAGCCAACACCACAAUUAAGAAAUUUAAGGGAAAAAAAAUAUUUUAAGCUUUUUUUUGUUUUGUUUUUUGGUGGGUUUUGGUUGUUUGUUUUUUUUUUUCCAGGGGUCUUUUCUUCUGUGGUUGCAUGUGUCUUUAGCAAGGACAGCUCUGGAUGCUGGGUGGACCCUGCUUGGAUUAAUGACAGAUGGAGCAGCUGAGGUUGCAGUGAUGAAGCACAUCCACACUCUCCUCCUUCCCUCCCUCCCAGCUUCACCCUCCUCUGUAAAUCAAGCAAGAGACAAACCAGAUCCCCUCUGCCUUUUGUUAUCAGUGCCGUGGAUAAUCCCCCCCUGGUAACAAUCCAUGUGGCCAAUAAUCAAUCCAAGGGAGGGGAUUAGCAGCAGUGAGAAAAUGCACCGUGACCAAACACUUCUCCUUGCACCCUUGCUGCUGCUCAGAAAAUCGUCGGGACAAGCACCUUCUCAGGCUAAUUGCUGACAAAUGUGAGAUAAACAGCCUGCUAUCACAACCAGCUCCCCUCCCUCUUUAAGGGAAGGGGUACAAUUAAAGCCUUCAGCAUUACACAGAUCGUGACAUCCGUUU